CCCAGACUCCUACGGGAGGCAGCAGUGGGGAAUAUUGCACAAUGGGGGAAACCCUGACGCAGCGACGCCGCGUGAGUGAAGAAGUAUUUCGGUAUGUAAAGCUCUAUCAGCAGGGAAGAAAAUGACGGUACCUGAUUAAGAAGCCCCGGCUAACUACGUGCCAGCAGCCGCGGUAAUACGUAGGGGGCAAGCGUUAUCCGGAUUUACUGGGUGUAAAGGGAGCGUAGACGGUGAUGCAAGUCAGAAGUGAAAGCCCGGGGCUCAACUCCGGGACUGCUUUUGAAACUGUGUGACUGGAGUGCAGGAGAGGUAAGCGGAAUUCCUGGUGUAGCGGUGAAAUGCGUAGAUAUCAGGAGGAACACCAGUGGCGAAGGCGGCUUACUGGACUGUAACUGACGUUGAGGCUCGAAAGCGUGGGGAGCAAACAGGAUUAGAUACCCUCGUAA
rnacentral:rRNA from 1 species